GGUGGCAGGUUGUAGCCCUGUGCAGGCGGGUAUUAGUCCCGCUCUUACCAAGUA
rnacentral:tRNA from 1 species